rnacentral:rRNA from 1 species
GCGGCGUGCCUAAUACAUGCAAGUAGGACGCACAGUUUAUACCGUAGCUUGCUACACCAUAGACUGUGAGUUGCGAACGGGUGAGUAACGCGUAGGUAACCUACCUAUUAGAGGGGGAUAACUAUUGGAAACGAUAGCUAAUACCGCAUAACAGUAUGUAACACAUGUUAGAUGCUUGAAAGAUGCAAUUGCAUCGCUAGUAGAUGGACCUGCGUUGUAUUAGCUAGUAGGUAGGGUAAUGGCCUACCUAGGCAACGAUACAUAGCCGACCUGAGAGGGUGAUCGGCCACACUGGGACUGAGACACGGCCCAGACUCCUACGGGAGGCAGCAGUAGGGAAUCUUCGGCAAUGGGGGGAACCCUGACCGAGCAACGCCGCGUGAGUGAAGAAGGUUUUCGGAUCGUAAAGCUCUGUUGUUAAGGAAGAACGAGUGUGAGAAUGGAAAGUCCAUGCUGUGACGGUACUUAACCAGAAAGGGACGGCUAACUACGUGCCAGCAGCCGCGGUAAUACGUAGGUCCCGAGCGUUGUCCGGAUUUAUUGGGCGUAAAGCGGGCGCAGGCGGUUAGAAAAGUCUGAAGUGAAAGGCAGUGGCUCAACCAUUGUAGGCUUUGGAAACUGUUUAACUUGAGUGCAGAAGGGGAGAGUGGAAUUCCAUGUGUAGCGGUGAAAUGCGUAGAUAUAUGGAGGAACACCGGUGGCGAAA